GUGGGAACGUGCCUUUAGGUUCGGAAUAACUCAGGGAAACUUGUGCUAAUACCGAAUGUGCCCUUCGGGGGAAAGAUUUAUCGCCUUUAGAGCGGCCCGCGUCUGAUUAGCUAGUUGGUGGGGUAAUGGCCCACCAAGGCUACGAUCAGUAGCUGGUCUGAGAGGAUGACCAGCCACAUUGGGACUGAGACACGGCCCAAACUCCUACGGGAGGCAGCAGUGGGGAAUCUUGCGCAAUGGGCGAAAGCCUGACGCAGCCAUGCCGCGUGGAUGAUGAAGGUCUUAGGAUUGUAAAAUCCUUUCACCGGUGAAGAUAAUGACUGUAGCCGGAGAAGAAGCCCCGGCUAACUUCGUGCCAGCAGCCGCGGUAAUACGAAGGGGGCUAGCGUUGCUCGGAAUUACUGGGCGUAAAGGGAGCGUAGGCGGACAUUUAAGUCAGGGGUGAAAUCCCAGAGCUCAACUCUGGAACUGCCUUUGAUACUGGAUGUCUUGAGUGUGAGAGAGGUAAGUGGAACUCCGAGUGUAGAGGUGAAAUUCGUAGAUAUUCGGAAGAACACCAGUGGCGAAGGCGACUUACUAGCUCAUUACUGACGC
rnacentral:rRNA from 1 species